GGCACGGGUCGGCGGGCGGCCCGGGGUGGUGCGGCGCGGCGCGUCGUCCGCGGUGACGUCCUCGGCGUCGAGGCCGGGGUCGUUCCCGGCCCGGGCCA
rnacentral:tRNA from 1 species